UACGUAGGGUGCAAGCGUUGUCCGGAAUUAUUGGGCGUAAAGAGCUCGUAGGCGGUUUGUCGCGUCUGCUGUGAAAACCCGAGGCUCAACCUCGGGCCUGCAGUGGGUACGGGCAGACUAGAGUGCGGUAGGGGAGAUUGGAAUUCCCGGUGUAGCGGAUGAAAUGCGCAGAUAUCGGGAGGAACACCGGUGGCGAAGGCGGUUCUCCUGGGCCGUUACCUGACGCUGGAGGAGCGAAAGCGUGGGGAGCAAACAGG
rnacentral:rRNA from 1 species